GCGUGAGUGAUGAAGGCCUUCGGGUUGUAAAGCUCUUUCGCCCGCGACGAUGAUGACGGUAGCGGGAGAAGAAGCCCCGGCUAACUUCGUGCCAGCAGCCGCGGUAAUACGAAGGGGGCGAGCGUUGUUCGGAUUUACUGGGCGUAAAGGGCGCGUAGGCGGCCCACCAAGUCAGGCGUGAAAGCCCCGGGCUCAACCUGGGAGGUGCGCUUGGGACUGGCGGGCUGGAGUUCGGGAGAGGAGAGUGGAAUUCCCAGUGUAGAGGUGAAAUUCGU
rnacentral:rRNA from 1 species